AUGCGAUAAGUAAUGUGAAUUGCAGAAUUCAGUGAAUCAUCGAAUCUUUGAACGCACAUUGCGCCCGCCAGUAUUCUGGCGGGCAUGCCUGUCCGAGCGUCAUUUCAACCAUCAAGCCCCCGGCUUGUGUUGGGGACCUGCGGCUGCCCGCAGGCCCUGAAAUUCAGUGGCGGGCUCGCUGACACACCGAGCGUAGUAGCAAUCAAGCUCGCUCAGGGCGUGCCGCGGGUGCUGGCCGUAAAAACCAGCUUUAUGUAGCACUAGGUUGACCUCGGAUCAGGUAGGAAGACCCGCUGAACUUAA
rnacentral:misc_RNA from 1 species